GUGCUUGCUUCGGUAGCACGUAUACUAAAAUUGGAACAAUACAGGCCUGGUCCCUGCACAAGGAUGACAUGCAAAUUCGUGAAGCAAAGGGAUCAUGUAAUAAUUUUU